ensembl:lncRNA
CCCAUCAUCAAACUGACUGGACCAGCCACCAACAGAGGGAGCUGUUCAACAACCCAUCAUCCCUUACAGACUGGACCAGCCACCAACAGAGGGAGCUGUUCAACAACCCAUCAUCCCUUACAGACUGGACCAGCCACCAACAGAGGGAGCUGUUCAACAACCCAUCAUCCCAUACAGACUGGACCAGCCACUAACAGUGAGCUCUGUUCUACAGCCCAUCAUCCCAUACAGACUGGACCAGUCACCAACAGAGGGAGCUGUUCUACAGCCCAUCAUCAAACUGACUGGACCAGUCACCAACAGAGGGAGCUGUUCUACAGCCCAUCAUCAAACUGACUGGACCAGCCACCAACAGAGGGAGCUGUUCUACAGCCCAUCAUCAAACUGACUGGACCAGUCACCAACAGAGGGAGCUGUUCAAC